rnacentral:lncRNA from 1 species
GCGGCGGUAGCGGCGGCGGCGUUCUUCGGCGGGCAAAUCCGGCGGCCUGGGGGCGCAAGCGAGAGAGAGAGCAGAGGGGAAAGAAAGAGGAGGGGCGGGGCUUUAUAAGGACGCGGGCGGCGAGUUUCGGAAAGCACGAGCAGGUUGGAUCCUGGAGAUUGCGGCGGCGGGGUGUCCGGCACGGACAGGGCGCCGCUUUCCUUCGGGGAAGACGAAGGCCCUGACAGGUGGGCCCCACCUGUCAGUGGCUCGCAGCGCGCGCGGACCGAGGUGGCUCGGUUCAGCUCGGGCACAGUCGGGAUUGGGCCGGUUCAACCCAUUUGGCCGGGCCGGUCCGGUUUUCGUUUUUUUUUCUUUUCUCUUUUUCCUUUUUCUCAUUUCUUUGAUAUCUUUUUAUUUUGAAAUCCAAAUUGAUCCAAAUAAAUUCCAGAAAAUUUGUAAAAUCAUGUAUGAUCAUGAUUCAACUUUUGGGAGUAAUUUCCUCUAAAAAUAAAAUAUAUAAAAAUACAUUUGCCCUAUAAAUGCCUUUAGGGCGAUAUAACUAUUUAAAUCAAAUAGUUUUUCAACUCCAAAUAAAAUCUUAAAAAUUAUGGGAUAGCUCAUUUAUGCAAUAAACCCCAUUUAUAGAUAAAUCUUAUUGGUUUUAAAAUCCAAAGCUCAAAUGGGUGAAACCCUAGGGUUUAAAAUGAAAUAAAAUCUUUUUAAAGCCUUUUUAGAUUCAAAUUUGAAUUCAAAAAUGCAAUUGUGGCAUGAUGCUCAUGAAUGCAAUGCAUAUGAAAGAGUUUGAAUUUUUGGGAUGUUACAUUACUCCCACUCUACUAUCAUUUAUUUUACUUUACAUACAUCCGACCAUUUGAUCAUGUCACUGAUACUCCCUUAUCUUCCUUCUUUAUUUUCUAUAGAUGGGGAGUCCACCACCACCCUUUGGCAAUGUACCGCCGUUCACCCGCGUCUACUACCCCUCCACGGACGACGACUAGUUGUUUAGUGCCCCUUACUGUGUGCGUUCCUCGACCUGCCACCUCCCAGGUUUAGAGGCCGAGUCGAGCCCGCCGUGCCAGAAGGAGGGCAUCCACGGUGGGAGAUUGAGGCGAAGAUCCACGGGCGUG